rnacentral:rRNA from 1 species
UACGUAGGUGACCAGCGUUGUCCGGAUUUACUGGGCGUAAAGAGCGCGCAGGCGGUCGUUCAAGUCGAGUGUGAAAGCCCCGGGCUCAACCUGGGAACUGCAGUUGAUACUGUCCGACUAGAGUACGAGAGAGGGAGGUAGAAUUCCAUGUGUAGCGGUGAAAUGCGUAGAUAUAUGGAGGAAUACCAGUGGCGAAGGCGGCCUCCUGGCUCGAUACUGACGCUGAGGUGCGAAAGCGUGGGGAUCAAACAGG